rnacentral:rRNA from 1 species
UACGUAGGGGGCAAGCGUUGUCCGGAAUCAUUGGGCGUAAAGAGCGUGUAGGCGGCCCGAUAAGUCCGCUGUGAAAGUCCAGGGCUCAACCCUGGAAUGCCGGUGGAUACUGUCGGGCUCGAAUCCGGAAGAGGUGAGUGGAAUUCCUGGUGUAGCGGUGAAAUGCGCAGAUAUCAGGAGGAACACCAAUGGCGAAGGCAGCUCACUGGCCCGGUACUGACGCUGAGGUGCGGAAAGCGUGGGGAGCAAACAGG